AGUGAACGCUGGCGGUAGGCCUAACACAUGCAAGUCGAACGGCAGCACAGUAAGAGCUUGCUCUUACGGGUGGCGCGUGGCGGACGGGUGAGGAAUACAUCGGAAUCUACUUUUUCGUGGGGGAUAACGUAGGGAAACUUACGCUAAUACCGCAUACGACCUACGGGUGAAAGCAGGGGUUCUUCGGACCUUUCGCGAUUGAAUGAGCCGAUGUAGGAUUAGCUAGUUGGCGGGGUAAAGGCCCACCAAGGCGACGAUCCGUAGCUGGUCUGAGAGGAUGAUCAGCCACACUGGAACGGAGACACGGUCCAGACUCCUACGGGAGGCAGCAGUGGGGAAUAUUGGACAAUGGGCGCAAGCCUGAUCCAGCCAUACCGCGUGAGUGAAGAAGGCCUUCGGGUUGUAAAGCCCUUUUGUUGGGAAAGAAAAGCAGCAGGUUAAUACCCCGCUGUUCUGACGGUACCCAAAGAAUAAGCACCGGCUAACUUCGGG
rnacentral:rRNA from 1 species